rfam:Salmo salar isolate Sally breed double haploid chromosome ssa03, whole genome shotgun sequence.
CGCAAGGACUACUGUAAGUCGCUCUGGAUAAGAGCGUCUGCUAAAUUACUAAAA